UACAGAGGUCCCGAGCGUUGUUCGGAUUUAUUGGGCGUAAAGGGUGCGUAGGCGGCGGAGUAAGUUGGGUGUGAAAUCCCGGGGCUUAACCUCGGAAUGGCAUUCAAUACUGCUUCGCUCGAGUACUGGAGAGGAGGCUGGAAUUUACGGUGUAGCAGUGAAAUGCGUAGAUAUCGUAAGGAAGGCCGGUGGCGAAAGCGAGCCUCUGGACAGUUACUGACGCUGAGGCACGAAGGUCAGGGGAGCAAACGGG
rnacentral:rRNA from 1 species